UCAAUAGAGGUGCGGAGAGCAGGGUACCGGCUUGCAUGGGAUGGGCACUCGAUCAGCAAGCAGGGAAGGAGCUCGCCGCCGAAAGGACGGAGAGGUGCCCGAUCUCCGGUCUUGGGAGCGUCGUGUAAGCGGCGUUACUGUCAUGUGAGUGAGCAUGGAGCGCUAUUGGU
rnacentral:ncRNA from 1 species